rnacentral:rRNA from 1 species
UACGUAGGGUGCGAGCGUUAAUCGGAAUUACUGGGCGUAAAGCGUGCGCAGGCGGCUUGCCAAGUCAGAUGUGAAAGCCCCGGGCUCAACCCGGGAACUGCGUUUGAAACUGGCAGGCUAGAGUUUGGCAGAGGGGGGUGGAAUUCCACGUGUAGCAGUGAAAUGCGUAGAGAUGUGGAGGAAUACCGAUGGCGAAGGCAGCCCCCUGGGAUAACACUGACGCUCAUGCACGAAAGCGUGGGGAGCAAACAGG